CAGAGCCAACACCUUGUUUGUCCCCUAACUGACGGCUCCUCUGUCUGGAAAAUCUUUUCUUGUUUUAUUUGAAGAGCAGAACUGUUCCUUCCUCCCCCCCCCCCCCCCCCCCCCCCGCCGGUGAUGAGGAAACACGCUGUUGAAUUUGGCAUCCUCGGCUUCUAGGAGACCGUGGUUGUAACUUGAUGCUCUCAGAGACUGGUGUCAGAAUGACUUGGAGUCAGACCCCACCCAAGACUUACUAAAUCAGCAUCUCUGGGUGUCCUUCUGGCGGCUCCAUGUACUAAGAAGUUUGCCAACCUCUGUAUUCGCCACACUGCCUUUCUGACUCAGGCAAGCAUCGCAUUUGGGUCCUUUCCGGGAAGGAGCCCUAUUCCUAAGCGUAGGUCGUGGUGAACCUUCCUCAGGCUGCCCUUUUCUCCAUGCAUCAUGGAGUGGCGUUUUCUUCUGUAGCCAGGGAAGAACAAGCAAGCAGUUUCAUGAAUCAUGGUUCUGUUUAUAUUUUGGUUGCUGAGGCUAAAUAUUGAUUGCUUUAAGUAAGAGGUUCUGCCUUAAGUAGAGUCAUGACUAACCGCAAGGGCACUGAAAUGCGUUUUCAUGACCAUCAGACUUGCGCUUCUCAACAGAAAGCCAAACGCAAUGGACCCUUUUGAUGUGCCACUGCCGCUGAUCAAAGUAUGAACGUUGCUCUCAACUAACGAGUAGCUUUUGAAAUUAAAAAGUGCCUAUUUGACUUUGUGGACUUAACCAUUGUUCUUACUCACUAUAACAUGUAGGGUCACAUUCACGCUCCGAUGGCGCAAAGUUAUAAAGCUGUGGGCCAUAUAAAACCUGUCAUUAAAAAGCACAUAAGCUACAA